rnacentral:rRNA from 1 species
GGUUUGAUCCUGGCUCAGAUUGAACGCUGGCGGGAUGCUUACACAUGCAAGUCGAACGGCAGCACGGACUUCGGUCUGGUGGCGAGUGGCGAACGGGUGAGUAAUGGGAACGCCUAGUAGCGGGGAUAACUACGCGAAAGCGUAGCUAAUACCGCAUACGCCCUUCGGGGGAAAGCGGGGGACCUUCGGGCCUCGCACUAUUAGAGCGGCCGAUAUCGGAUUAGCUAGUUGCGGGGUAACGGCUCACCAAGGCGACGAUCCGUAGCUGGUUUGAGAGGACGACCAGCCACACUGGGACUGAGACACGGCCCAGACUCCUACGGGAGGCAGCAGUGGGGAAUUUGGACAAUGGGGGAAACCCCUGAUCCAGCCAUCCCGCGUGUGCGAUGAAGGCCUUCGGGUUGUAAAGCACUUUUGGCAGGAAAGAAACGGCACGGGAUAAUACCCCGUGCAACUGAUUUGGUACCUGCAGAAUAAGCACCGGCUAACUACGUGCCAGCAGCCGCGGUAAUACGUAGGGUGCAAGCGUUAAUCGGAAUUACCGGGCGUAAAGCGUGCGCAGGCGGUUCGGAAAGAAAGAUGUGAAAUCCCAGAGCUUAACUUUGGAACUGCAUUUUUAACUACCGAGCUAGAGUGUGUCAGAGGGAGGUGGAAUUCGCGUAGCAGUGAAAUGCGUAGAUAUGCGGAGGAACACCGAUGGCGAAGGCAGCCUCCCGGGAUAACACUGACGCUCAUGCACGAAAGCGUGGGGAGCAAACAGGAUUAGAUACCCCUGGUAGUCCACGCCCUAAACGAUGUCAACCAGCUGUUGGGGCCUUCGGGCCUUGGUAGCGCAGCUAACGCGUGAAGUUGACCGCCUGGGGAGUACGGUCGCAAGAUUAAAACUCAAAGGAAUUGACGGGGACCUGCACAAGCGGUGGAUGAUGUGGAUUAUCUGAUGCAACGCGAAAAACCUUACCUACCCUUGACAUGUCUGGAAUCCCGAAGAGAUUUGGGGAGUGCUCGCAAGAGAACCGGAACACAGGUGCUGCAUGGCUGUCGUCAGCUCGUGUCGUGAGAUGUUGGGUUGUCCCGCAACGAGCGCAACCUCCUUGUCAUUAGUUGCUACGAAAGGGCACUCUAAUGAGACUGCCGGUGACAAACCGGAGGAAGGUGGGGAUGACGUCAAGUCCUCAUGGCCCUUAUGGGUAGGGCUUCACACGUCAUACAAUGGUCGGGACAGAGGGUCGCCAACCCGCGAGGGGGAGCCAAUCCCAGAAACCUCGAUCGCAUCCGGAUCGCAGUCUGCAACUCGACUGCGUGAAGCCGGAAUCGCUAGUAAUCGCGGAUCAGCAUGUCGCGGUGAAUACGUUCCCGGGUCUUGUACACACUGCCCGUCACACCAUGGGAGUGGGUUUUCACUUCAGAAGUAGUUAGCCUAACCGUGAGGAGGGCGUGAUUACCACGGUAGGAUUCAUGACUGGGGUGAAGUCGUAACAAGGUAG